GGAUUGUAACUCAAUGGUAGAGUGUGUGCUUUGCAUGCAUAAGGUCUUGGGUUCAAUGUCCACCACCA
rnacentral:tRNA from 1 species